GAUGAACGCUGGCGGCGUGCCUAAUACAUGCAAGUCGAGCGAACAGACGAGGAGCUUGCUCCUCUGACGUUAGCGGCGGACGGGUGAGUAACACGUGGAUAACCUACCUAUAAGACUGGGAUAACUUCGGGAAACCGGAGCUAAUACCGGAUAAUAUAUUGAACCGCAUGGUUCAAUAGUGAAAGACGGUUUUGCUGUCACUUAUAGAUGGAUCCGCGCCGCGUUAGCUAGUUGGUAAGGUAACGGCUUACCAAGGCAACGAUGCGUAGCCGACCUGAGAGCGUGAUCGGCCACACUGGAACUGAGACACGGUCCAGACUCCUACGGGAGGCAGCAGUAGGGAAUCUUCCGCAAUGGGCGAAAGCCUGACGGAGCAACGCCGCGUGAGUGAUGAAGGUCUUCGGAUCGUAAAACUCUGUUAUUAGGGAAGAACAAAUGUGUAAGUAACUAUGCACGUCUUGACGGUACCUAAUCAGAAAGCCACGGCUAACUACGUG
rnacentral:rRNA from 1 species